rnacentral:lncRNA from 1 species
UAUUUGUUAGAGAUGAACUGCAAGUCAUGGUGGCCACCAUUGCCUUUGGCAUGGGCAUAGAUAAACCUAACAUUAGACAAGUGAUUCACUAUGGUUGCCCUAAAAGUCUAGAAUCCUACUGCCAGGAAAGUGGACGAUGCGGUAGAGAUGGUAUAGCUUCUGUUUGUUGGCUUUAUUACACAAGAAGUGACUUUGCAAAGGGCGACUUUUACUGUGGAGAUGUAAAAUCAGUAUGUGUAUUUAUAUUUAUCUGAAAAAAUUUGGCCAAGGAUUUAUUUGUAGUUGAAUGAAUAUUGAAGCUGCUUACUUCUUGCAUAUUGUCCCGAUAUAAGUUAUCCCCAUUCUCCUACCUAAUAUUUAACUCUCCAAUGUACCAGGAAAAACAAAGAAAAGCUGUUAUGGAGUCAUUGCUUGCAGCUGAACGCUAUUGUGUGCUGACAACUUGCAGAAGAAAGUUCUUGCUUGAAUACUUUGGGGAAAAAAUUUCAGCUGAUAGAUGCGGUUUGCCUUUUACAUUGAUGCUUCAUUAUUGUCCUUGUAGAGCUAGAGCUUAAACCUAAUAGCAUUGUUACUUCAUUGACCUUAUACAAUUACGGGAAUCGAGCAUAGUGUGAUUAGUCCAAAUACCCCUGUAAAGGUGGAUCAUGUGUGUCAUAUGCUCCCAAGCUUGCUAAAUAAGAUUAAAUCUAGGUUCUCUAAGGGACUUACAAAAUGAAACAGCUAACUGGACAGGUUGACAAAAUCAAUAACAAUCUUUAUCAUGCCUGAAAUUAACCUUUUCUUAUUUAGUUUACUCCAAUUUCUAUUUCUUUUAAACGUGCUUUAUAGGGAACUGUGAUAAUUGCAAAGUCUCAAAGAAGGAGCGAGACAUGUCAAGGGAAGCAUUUCUUCUAAUGGCUUGCAUUCAUUCAUGCAACGGCAGAUGGGGCCUUAAUAUGCCUAUUGAUGUCCUGCGCGGGUCUCGAGUAAGAUGUUCAAAAUUAAAGCUAGGAACUGUUUUCAUUUCAGUUUUAAAGAAUUCAUUCCCUUUUUUAGUUCUUGUUUGGUAGCAUUAAUUUCUUAUUCCUUUAUUUAAUCAUGUACAUGUACUCCCUUUUUUUUCAACUGUCAUUGUUAUCCUUGUGUUUUGACUAACUAUUUUUUUCUUUGGUUGUUUAUCAUAAUAUCUAUAGGUUGUUUACCUUUUUCAGAUAACUGUGCCUUAUUUUGUUUAGUCCUUUUCAAGUAUAAGUGUAUCUAACUAUCUAUCUACUACUAUCUAUUAGGUAUUUCAGGGAAAUAAUUGAACUUCUACUAAUAGAUCAAAGUUGGUGUAAAUUUUAAUAAUGAAGCUGUAAAUGUAAUUUUGAAGCCUUUUUGUUUAAUAAAAUUGAAAGAAUGCUAUUGGAUUGCUAUACUGUAGGUUAGCACUACGACCUGUACAAAAGACUUAUACUGCAUUCUUGAUAAAAAGAAAAGAAAAAAAAUAAAAAAGUGGGGGGACCAGUUAUGAAACCUUAAUUGAGAACUUGACAGCAGACAAUUUGGAAAUUUUGUGUGAUGAUAGAUCUAAGGAUGGGAAGUUUUCUUCUACAGAAUGUUGAAAAGAGUACUCAAGUAACGAUUCUGUCACAAUGAUUAAAAACCAUAAACUUUACAGUUGCACAAAGAAGAAAAGAAAGAGAAAGCACCAAUUUAUCUUCCAUCCACAUAUGGAAAUUUAUUACACUAAAUUUAGAUAUUUUAAACUAACAACUCACAUUACUUCAUUUAUAUGAUCCUAAAAUUGUUCAAAAGGAACACUCCGGUUAUUCAACUGCACAAAAAGCUCCCUUAGUUCAUGAUGACAAGGUGGUUUUUAACAAACCUAUAAAUCCUGUUUCCUCUUAUUCAUAAUGACAAAUAUUGAAGCCUUAGUGCAUAAGGAGUCUGCUGUUACAUGGUAGACAAGCAUACUCAAAUCCUCGAGUACCCACAAAAUGAUUUUGAACCUAUAAAUCCUGUUUCCUCUUUUUCAUAACGACAAACAUUGAAGCCUUAGUGCAUAAGGAGUCUGAUGUUACAUGGUAGACAAGCAUACUCAAAUCCUCGAGUACCCACAAAAUGAUUUUGAAUCUAGCAACUUGGUUCCUUCUUUUUGCUGUCUGUAGAUACUGCACUCUGCUUGAAGAAUACCCUCUACUUGGUAUACUCUAAAAGCAUAAGUAUCAUUGGUUUUCAUUCAUCCUUAGCUUUACUGUUGCCUUUAAAUUUAUUUAAUCGUUCAAACUGUUGAUAUUGUAUUAGCUUGUAACUUGUAGGCCAAGAAAAUUCUUGAGGUUCAAUUUGAUAAGCUUCCACUUCAUGGGCUGGGGAAAAAUUAUCCAGCAAAUUGGUGGAAAUCACUUGGGCAUCAAUUGAUUUCUCAAGGUAUUGAGUGGAAAUAAUUUACCUAGUUACAAUCAUUAGUUGUGUUCAAACAGUUCUGUUGAUUGACAUUCUCAGUUCAGGGUAGUUUGAAUUAUGUAGAGCAAAGCAUUUUCUGUCGCACUGUUUAAGUUGACUGCCUGUCAUUUUGGGUAAUUUCAAUCAUUGAAGGCAGUUUUAACAUUAAAAACUACUUGGUUUAUAAACGAUUUCAUUGAUUUUGAAAAUGAAAUCACAUUUUCCGGCUUUUGUUGCCUUGUUUGCUGUCCCUUGUAUUCAUUUUCUAAGUCUUGGGUAUGAUUGGAUUGCAAGCGCUAGGUUAGAUUUUAAGAGACCAUGGAUGAAAGUUUGCCUUUUUCUUUUUGAUUAUCUAAGUGAAUAUGUUACAUAGAAGAAUGACAAGUGACCCCUUUAUUUUUCAUUUUUUCUACUUCCAUUUUUGUUCAAUGCACAGAGGGUGUGGGUUUGUUUCUUGCUUCAACUGGAGCUUUUUGAGCUAGUAGCAGUAUUCACUAUACGUCCAUCAAAGAAAAAAAUACAUUUGAAAAUAAUAGCAUUCUUUUUUCUGUUUUCAAACAUAAUUAAUUGUUCAUACAUUUCAUGCUAUUUAUUUGGUACUGGUAAGUCUAUUUCUUGCUUAAGUAUAUUUUACAUAUUCACAAUCUACAUGUAAAAAUGACAAUCCUUUAUAUUACAAAGUAAAUUCUAUUGGAAGAAAUUUCUAGAUGCGAUUUAUAAUAAACUCCUAUUAUUCUACAGGUUAUCUGAAGGAGACUGUUAGUGACGUAUACAGAACUAUAAGGUAGAUUCUUCAAUUUAUUUGGUAGAUUGCAGAAGUUAUUUGAAGUCCUUUUAUGCUACAAGUCUGUUACCUAAAUGUAGGAUGAAAAAGAUAAUUAUUGCAUGGAUACCUUUGUGAAAAAUAAUGAUUCCUCAAGGAGGAAAAGUUUGUAGAUAAUUAUCACCGGGAUUUCGGGAGUCCAGCCCUCUUGCACUUUCUAACAUUACAAAAACUGUUCUAUCCGCUUCCAACCCCCUUUUUCCCACCCCCUAACUACUAGUAAUUAUAUGUUUCCCUUAUCCACCUCAUCACCCAGACUGUUAAUAGAGCCGGACUUCUCUAAUUGGGCAUCAUACUUUUGUUAUAAUUUUUUAUCAUUGGGACCUAAAAAUGUAAAAGCACAUCAAUUAUGCAAUUUUUGAGUUUCUUAAUGUUUUAGCGUGUUUCACAACUGAAGCUAUAAUUAGACGCAACAUUUGUUCUUCAUGAACCAGUGUCAGUUCAAGAGGAGAGCAGUUUUUGGCCUCUUCAAGACCAGAUUAUCAACCUCCUUUAGUUUUGACAUUGACUGCUGAAAUGCUUGGAGAAGAAGAUAAUGGAAACACACAAGACGAAUUUAUAACUUUAUCCACUUCAGAAUUAGAUGGUUUUUCAGAGGUUGGUAAUUAAGUGGUUUUAUCUCUAUCCAACAUUUUUCUCUCUUUCCUUUUCUUCUAAUUAUCAGUGAAGCUUUUUGAGUGUGUGGUUGAUAAUUACAUGUAUAUGUAAGAUAAAUAAGCCAUUUAUUCAUAAAAGGUAAAAAUUUCUUAUAAUUUUUGUUUAUAAGUGAAAUUAUAUUAAUUCUAAAUCUUUGUGCUGUACUUCUCUACUCAGGCUGAGAGAAAGCUGCAUCAAAUGCUUUUGGAAGAAAGAUUAGAGCUUGCAAGAAGUGUUGGAACAGCUCCGUAUAGUUUUUGAUUUUUAACAGUUUGUGAAGGAUAUUAAUUCUUAGUUUCUUUUAUCCAUAGUUUCAUCACAAAACUGUUAUACCAUCUUUGUAGAUAUGCUAUCUGUGGAGAUCAAACGAUCAGGAAAAUUGCUUUGACAAGACCAUCUACAAAAGCAAGACUAGCAAACAUUAAUGGUGUGAAUCAGGUAUGCCUUCAAUGUUUUCAAGAUGUCUGGAAACUGGGUCAGACCUAAUGGUUCAAGAAGAGAAAGCAGGAAGUUGUCAAAAUUCAUCAAAAGGGCUUUAGUAAACAAAUUAUUUUAUUAAUUUCUUAAUUCAGCUUUAGUUAAUAUAAAAUUCUUGGCAGUAAUUAUGUCUAUGGAGAAAUCUCCCAAUUGUGAAGGUUUAUUGAAAUAAUAUGAAAUAGCUUGCUAGAUUUCCAAACAAGGGGAGAAAUUAUUGAUGCAGGCAGUGUGAACUAGUUAAUCCUCUAAAUGAGCAAUCCCUUGGCAGUAGUUUACCUUCCAAUGAUCAGUAAUGACAAAUCAGACCAUGCUGCUUUGUGAAAUUUGUUUGGCCUGUAAAAAUGUCUUAGAUAACUGAAGCCAUUUUUAUUUUUACCUUCUGUCUUUGUCAUUUUAAAUACUAACUUCAAACAACUUUUUCAGCACCUAGUGAUGAAAUAUGGAGAUCAUUUUCUUCAAGUUAUUCAGAAACUGUCACAAGGACUAAACCUAUCAUUGGACGGGGAAGAAAGGGUCUCAACGGCUAGUUUGCAAACUAAUGCAGUAAUGAAAGUGUCUCCAAUAACCAACAAAUCCAAGAAGUUGACUUCAGCGAAGUUUGAAGCAUGGAAAAUGUGGCAUGAAGAUGGUCUUUCUAUUCAUGAUAUUGCUGUAUGUCAUUCGUAUCUGCUGUUAUUAUUAAAGAUCUUUGCUUCACAAUUUCAUUGUAUAACUUCAUGACAUUGUUGUAUGUCAUAUUAGUCUGUUGUUACUAAGAUCCACGCCCACAUGUUUCAUUGGGUAACUACUUUCUCUACUGACUCCUCUCCGUAAUCUUAGAACUUAGAAGUUAGAUCGGCUCCUAUAAAAGAACAAACUGUUGUUGAAUAUCUACUGGAAGCUGCCCAAGAAGGAUUACCUUUUGAUUGGGUUAGAUUCAGCAAGAUGAUAGGACUCACUCAAGAGAUUAUGUCAGAAAUUCAGGGUGCUAUUUCAAAAGUUGGAUCUACAGACAAGCUGAAGCCUAUAAAAAAUGAAUUGCCAGAAGAUGUGGGUUUGGAUUUCCUACCUUCAUGAUUUGAGUACAUCAUGUUAUUUAUGCAAAUAAUAUGGUCCAAUAUAUUUCAUUCUACUGCUUUAUCUUGCAUGGUGACAGCUUCAUUAUUUUAGGUUUACUUGUUUUUAUUUCUUGAAAAUUAUUCGAACUUGUAGGAAAGAAUUGCUUAUUGCUUCGUUGAAUUUGAGAUUGAAUAAUUUUUUAUGGUGCAGAUAAGUUAUCAGCACAUCAAGACUUAUUUGUCAAUGCAAAACUGUGGUAUAUCCUUGGAAACAAAUCAGUAUGGAAGUAACCAAACCGGGAAAGAUGAUGAACUUGCACACAAUGCUUCAAAUUUGUCAGACUGUACUUUAGAAACAUGUCCUGACAGGCAAUGUGAAGAUGACACUUCUGUAAAAGCUUUGGCUGAAGAACGUGACUUAGAAAUGGAUGAGGUACCUUCUUUACCUGUCAACGGUUCCGAGGAAGAGAAGCUUUCAAAUGCCAGGGAAGGGAAAUUCACAAGAAAACGACAAAGGGUCAGUGAAACGAAGGAAGUAAACUCAACUAGACUGAAGGCUACAGUGACUUCUGUUAUAGAGUGGAUGAAGAACCUUGAUGAAGGGGUAAGUGGAGACUUGUUUAUGUUUCUGACGACUCCUCUCUCUAUAUAUAGAGAGACUCAGACACAUGUAUAUGAGCUUUGCUUUGUGAUUAUAAUUGUAGGAAAAUGUGUUGUUUAUUNGUUUCAGGCUACGUUGAGCAAUAUUUUGGAACACUUCAAUGGAUCCAGUGAAGAUUCUGUGGUUGAACUGCUCAAUUGCUUAGAGUGUGACUUUUUAAUAUAUAGGAAAGGGAACGUGUACAGGGUUUUGUAACAGUUUAUGCAUCGUGUUUUUUUAGAUCACGCUUGUGAAAAUCUAUUUGUUUGUAGUCUAUUGCAUUUUCACUACAAUGUUAACUGCCUCGAAUAAUGAACAUACUUAGUCAUUUCAUAACAGCUCCAGGUGUUUAACGGUAAAUACAUUUUUCGUUUUUUGCUUUAUUACUCCCAGAUUUCGUAUUUUAUCCUAUUGUUAACUUUGAUCACUCGUUUUAAUUGUUCCCAUUUAGCUAUAACAAUUUGUAGUUAUUCAUAUUAAGUCUUGGUUUCAUAAAUCCAUUGGAUGAGUAACAAAUAGUAGAAUUUGAUGUAUCAUUAGUUUAUGUAAUUUUGUAAAGGAAAAGGUUUAUAGAAUGACUUCACAUCACUUUUUAAGUUUUUAUUUAAAUAUAUAACUCAAACAAUAAAUUUGGACAUGUUUUAGUUCUUGAUGUGAUUUGAUUUCUCAAUUUAAUAAAUUUAAAGAUGUAGUAUUAAAGCUUUAAGGAUUUAGUUUCUUGGACGAGUAGGUUGUCCAAGCACAGUUUACCACGAAUUUUUGAACUAGUGAACUUUAUUUUCACUCCAGACCAUUUCAGACAUUUAUCCCAACGGUUAACAACAGAAGCGUGGAAACAAAAAACGCAACCAUGAAAGAUUCCUGGACACUUACGCAUUAGUCAUACUCAACAGAUGGAAUAGAUCAUAAUCUUCAUGCACUGUUAAGAAAACGAGACAAAUAAGAAAGCCAAAAGUAUAGUUAGUUUAAUCUCUCCCCGCCAAAGCUAAAACAAGGGGAACAGAGUUACACAAAAACUUUACAAGAAUUGAAUUGCAUAUUACUUUCUCUAAUGUCAUUUUCAGCAACAAAAAUGGUGGUUGAUCAGAUAAAGUUUAUACAAACAAACAUACUGCUAAGAUUCUGCAGACAGUUUGUACCAGACCAAACACACCACAGAGAACUUAAGGAGUCACAAAUUAUUUUCUACUGUUGUUUAAGUUCUGCUGUUGUUUUAGUUUGAUGCAUAGUAGCCAGUUCAAAUGAAAUGACUAAUCCUGCAUUGAAACAGGUUUAGGCAUGAUAAUCAAUGACCAUCAGGUUGAAACACAACUAAUUAGAUAUACGUAACAGUAUUGGAAGUUUUCAGGAACACUACUUCCUAUUAUGUUUCAUUAGUGAAUGCAUCAGCCCUAAACCAGUAAAGUUGUUCAACUUGGAAACUUUUUGCAUAAUUUAUAAGACCUCUAUAGAGUGGGGUGCAUUUAGUAAUUCUUGAAGUGCAAGAAGCAAAUUCUUACCUGUAUGACAUGAAAUAUAUAGCUUAGACCAGGUGAGGAUCAGGCCCAAAACCAUGUGUGUGACCAGUUGAAUUGGCGGGAGUGUAGUAUCAGUUUAUUCCGAUAUCAAUGUCAGAACUUUGUGGCUUCCGACUUUGAGACCUUACGGUGGUUUCUCUUCCUCCCCUCCCCAACAUGGAGACCGUUCCCUCUGUUCUCAAGGUAAUCAUAAUCAACGCCUUUACCUCUGCCAACCUCAUUUUACCGUUUCAUUAAUGAUGACAAUGAUUUGUUGUACAAUGCCGUUAAUCCUUUGUAAGAUAACGUCAAUACCCACUUUCCAGUUUUCAGUUUCGUUGGCGGGAUUGAAACAAGUUUUAUUUUUUUUUUUGGUGCUUUAUCUAAAUAAUAAAUAAUUGAAUGUGCAAUGGAAAUUGUGUUGGGUUGCCCUAUCAGUAUUGUGAAUAACGUGUCAGAGGUUUUGAGGGUUUUAUCAUUGUUGGACGCUGAUGUGUUUUCUACUGUUUUCAGAAAUACUUUGGGUUUUCUAAUUUUAAGCCUUAUCAGAGAGAAGUUAUUGAGAAAAUUAUUGAGAGAAGGGAUUGUUUGGUAGUCAUGGCUACUGGUAGUGGGAAGUCCUUGUGGUAAAGCAUCAUUAUUCCCUUUUUUUCUCACUCAUUCUGUGUUUUUUCCCUAAAUUGGAGAGUUCAGAGGUGAACGUUAUUUUAUUUCUUAACAGCUAUCAGGUACCUCCCUUGGUUGUUAAAAAGACUGGGAUAGUUGUGAGCCCUCUGAUAUCAUUGAUGCAAGACCAGGUGAAUUGAUUGGUUCUUCUGAAUGAGUCUACUUGUUUUACUUUUUUAUGCUCUCAAUGCCUAUCUGUACAUGUCAAUAGUGAUUCCCUAAUAAGAAGAGAUGGAAAAACAGGUGAUGGCUUUAAAACAACGAGGUAUUAGAGCUGAAUAUCUUGGAAGUGCUCAGAAGGAUUUCACUGUGCACUCUAAAGCUGAACGUGGUCAAUUUGACAUUCUGUUCAUGACUCCUGAGAAGGCAUGCACAGUUCCUACAAGGUAAUGGAUUAAAUACAUGUCUAACAUUCAGCUGGCAGAUUGUGGCCGUUAUUUUGAGUGCAUUUCAUUAAAAGUUAUAACUUUUAGAAAUGGAAGUGUCGUGGAGCUAUUCUAGAAGUUACAUGACUAGUUCACUUCUUAAGUUAAUUUUCUUUUUAAUUUCUGAAAUUAUGUCGCCAAUGUUAGUCCAUACCAUGUCUUGUCUAAUUAUGAUAUUCUGUUCACUUGAACUUACUUUUUGCAGUUUUUGGUCCAACUUACUAAAGGCUGGAAUUAGUCUUUUUGCUGUUGAUGAAGCCCAUUGCAUAUCGGAAUGGGGACAUGGAUUUAGGGAGAAAUACAAGCAUUUAGACAAGUUACGUGAGGUCUUGCUUGAUGUUCCUUUUGUUGGUCUAACUGCGACUGCUACUGAAAAGUAAGCAUCUUUUCUUUGGCUUUUGGUGAAGCAUAUCAUGGCUGUACUUUAUAAUAACUCUGAUACACAUGUUGUGCCUCUCUGAUCCGGUAUUCUGUUAUCCAAUUUAUAGAUUUCCAGAGAUAGAGGACUUUUGUUAGUAAACAUCACAUAUUGUUCUAUGUUCUGAUCUAGUUCUGGAAGAAGCCUAUUAGGUUUCUUAAAUUUUUAAAGCGCUGCUGUUUGUUGCAAAAGUAAAUUACCAGGUUCUGGAGUGAUUAAACCACCUCUACAGAAUCGAAUUUCGUUUCUGUUGACAUCAGUUGUAUAGGGGAUGGCUGCUGAAGGUCUUGUAAGAUAUGUUUUCUUUAAAUCUUUUCUGGUACAACAAAUCCUGUAGUGUUUUGCCUACUGUGUAUUUCUGGUGGUUUCUUUCUCUUUUUUCUUUUCCGUUUUACACAUCUUCUCAUCAAGAGGGAGGAAUUUUCUUACCUGUGUUGAACGCUAUCUUGACUCGUGAGCAUAGGAACGGAUUAAAAUUAAUUGAUAUUUCUACUUUGUAAAUUAAUUAAUGAAACUGUGACACUUUUUCUAUUUGCAUUAUCGUACUUCAUUGUUCUAUUAAUUGAUAGCAUACUGUAGUUUUGUUUAGAUUAAAGAAAAACAUACAAUCAUGUUAAUUUGUGUGCUUUAUUUCCAGGGUUCGAUUUGAGAUCAUCAGUUCCCUGAAGAUGGAUAACCCUUAUGUUACGAUUGGUUCAUUUGAUCGCACAAAUCUUUUCUAUGGUGUCAAACCAUUGAACCGUGGACAAUCUUUUAUUGAUGAGCUUGUGUGGGAAAUUUCAAAAGAAGUUGCUACGGGUGGUUCAACUAUAAUUUAUUGCACAACAAUCAAAGAUGUAGAGCAGGUAAUGUGCUAGAAAUGUUACAAAUAAAUCCCAAACUAGUUUUCUAUCUUGUUCUUUGUUGAAGGCUUAAGAUUAAUACUGAAACAUAUAUUAUAGAGGGCUUAAUGCACCUCCACAACUCAAGUUACAUUUAUAGAGAAGAAAGGAUGCUAGCUACACUUUCAACUAGCUAAGACUGAUUGGAACACACUCACUAACAACUAAUACACAUUCACAUACAGCACAUACACACUCAAACAGCUUAUACACACUUAAACACACAAUUCAUAAUUCUAAUACUCCCUCUCAGGCUGGAACAUUCAAAUUGUAUGUACCAAGCUUGGAACAAAUGAACUUAAUCUGAGGUCCUCUUAUGGACUUUGUUAACAUAUCUGCAAGUUCGUCAUUUGAUCCAACAAACUCAGUACAAAUUUCUUUGGACAAUAGCUUUUCUCAAACAAUUUCUAUUUGUUUAGUCCUUUCAUGGAACACUGGAUUUGAUGCAAUGUGGAGAGCAGUUUGAUUAUCGCAAUACAUUUUCAUAGUCUGAAUAUCACAAAAGUUAAGUUCUUGAAGGAACUGCUUUACACAUAUAAGUUCACAUGUUAGUGAUGCCAUUGCCCUCUAUUCAACUUCAAUUGUUGAUCGAGCCACUACAUUAUGUUUCUUACUUUUCUACUAAAUAAGUUUCUUCCAAGACAAACACAAUAUCCAGUAGUAGAUCGUCUGUCAAUAAGCGAACCUGCCCAAUCUGCAUCACAGUAUCCAAAGACUUGAAGACUUCCUUUAUCUUCAUAUAACAACUAUUGCCCGAAAGCCUUUUUGGUGUACCUUAGAAUGUAAAUGAUAGCAUUCCAAUGGCCAACACAUGGAGCUUGCAUGAAUUGACUAACCACUCCAACUACAAAAGAUAGAUCUAGCUUUGUAAUAGUGAGAUAAGUUAGUUUCCCAACCAGCCUCCUAUAUCUCUCCGGAUCGAAGAAUAACUCACCUUCUUCUUCCGUUAAUUUUUGAUUUGGGUCCAUAGGACUAUCUACUGGUCUACAACCAUUCAUGCUCGUUUCUUGUAAAAUAUCAAGGGCAUACUUCCUUUGGGAGAUUACAACUCCAUCUUUUGACUGAGCUACUUCGAUUUCUAAGAAGUAUUUUAGGCUUCCAAGAUCCUUGGUUUGAAAAUGUCUACUCAAGUACUUCAGUUGAGAUAUUCCAACAAUAUCAUUUCCUGUAAUGACUAUAUCAUCAACAUAUACUAUUAUGUAAACACAUUUCCUGAGAGUUGUAUGAUAGUAAAAGGCUGAAUGAUCUGCUUCACUACGUUCAAGCCCAAAUUUUUUAACAAUGGAGCUGAAUUUUCCAAACCAAACACGUGGUGAUUGCUUUAGGCUAUAUAGAGAUCGAUUCAAUUUGCAAACCAUACCAGACUCCUCCUGAGCAACAAACCCAGGAGGUUGCUCCAUAUAAACUUCUUCCUCAAGAUCUUUGUAUUGAAAUGGCGACUUAAGGGGUCAACAUGGAGAGAAGGAGGUCUGGUAAGACAACCAGUGGUGACGCAGUGUGAUUCUGACACCGGGAAAGUGGCGCUAAUGAACACGUGCAGGAUUGGAGAAAGGUGGCGCGUGACGACGCGUGGACUGGUGGUUCGCCGUGGUUCUAUUGGGGUUAGCUAAUGCUCGAAGAGGCGAUCUAGAUCUGCUGGUCGCCAGACUAAACUGCGGUGGCAAACAGUGGCAGAUGGUGGCGGACGGCAAAGGUCAGUCGAAAAUGGUUGUUGACAGUGUUUGAUAAUAAAAAAAAAUAGAAGAUGGCUGCAGAUUAUAGAUGAAUAGUAGAAAAAAAGUAAAUACACCAGUCAAUGGCAAUUAAUGCUUGAUACUAGUGGACAGACUUAAAGAGUUGGGAGAGAAACUGAAAUUAUUAUUGUUGUUCUCUUAACCCUAAUACACAUACUACCCUAUUUAAGGGAUAGUAGAUCAACAUAAAAAGGAAAAACAGAAGGCUCCUAAAAAGCCCACUAGAAAAUACAUUACAUUUCAACACUUCCCCUCAAGUUGGAGCAUAUAGAUCAUAUGCACCAAGCUUGGAACAUCUAAAUUGAAUCCUAGGCCCUCUUAGAGAUUUGGUCAGAAUGUCUCUGAGUUGUUCAUUAGAGUUGACAAACUCAGUAACAAGUUCCUUGGACAAUAACUUUUCUCUAAUAAAAUGACAAUCAAUUUCUAUGUGUUUUGUUCUCUCAUGAAACACUGAAUUGGAGACAAUAUGAAGGGUUGCAUGGCUGAUCCACACAAGUUCGCAUGUAGUUAAAGCCAUAGAUCGGUAUUCAACUUCAGCACUAGAUCGAGCAACAACACUUUGUUUCUUACUUUUCCAAGAUACAAGGUUCCCUCCAAGUAAAACACUACCCUGUAGUAGAUCUUCGAUCAAUUGGACAACCAGCCCAAUCUUCAUCACAAUAUCCUUCAAUUUGAGUGUUUUCCUUGUUCUCAUACAACAAUCCUUGUCCUGGGUGUCCUUUUACAUAUCUGAGAAUGCGAAUCACUGCAAUCCAAUGGUCAACAUGUGGAUUUUGCAUAAAUUGGCUCACAACUCCCACUAGAUAAGAAAGAUUAGGUCUUAUUAUUGUAAGAUAAAUGAGUUUUCCAACCAGCCUUCUAUAUCUCUCUGGGUCUGAGAAAGGUUCACCUUGAUCUCUCAUUAACUUUUGAUUUGAGUCCAUAAGACUAUCAAUGUGCUUGUAAUUUGUCAGGCCAAUUUCCUCUAAAAUAUCAAGAGCAUAUUUCCUUUGUAAAAUGAUGACACGCUCUUUUGAUUGUGCCACUUCAAUACCAAGAAAAUAUUUUAGACGACCCAGAUCUUUAGUAUGAAAGUGGUUGAACAAGUGAUUCUUUAAUUGAGUAAUACUAGUGACGUCAUUCCCCAUAAUAACAAUAUCAUCAAGAUACACCAUGAGAUAAACACAUUUUUCAGGAGAAGAAUGACCAUAAAACACUGAGUGAUCCGUCUCACAUUGUUUAAAUCCAAAAUUUUGCACAACCCAACUAAAUUUACCAAACCAAGCUCGAGGUGAUUGUUUCAAGCCAUAGAGGGAACAACGUAAUUUACAAACUAACCCAAACUCCCCCUUAGCAACAAACCCAGGAGGUUGCUCCAUGUAUAUCUCCUCUUCUAGAUCACCAUUAAGAAAGACAUUUUUAAUGUCCAACUGGUAAAGUGGCCACUGACGAAUGACAACCAUAGCAAGCAUAAUACGAACCGUAUUGGUUUUAGCCACGGGAGAGAAGUAUCCAUGGUCUGGGGAUCUAGUGGAGGAGGAUCUGAGUCUCGAGGAUCUUCAGUGUUCUGAGUUUAAGAUUGUCCCCGAUGAUGAUAUGUGAGAAGAGGUGGAGGAACAAUGUCAUUCGCAUUUUGAGUUUGAGAUACAAAAGCAGGAACAACCAAGGGAUCACAUGAUGGUAGAGGAAACAUUUGUUGAACAGAUGAAUGAUCCUCCAUGGAGGACAAGAAAAAAGGUGUAUCCUCAAAAAAUGUGAUAUCAGCAGACAUAUAAUAUCUCUUGGUGAAGGGAGAAUAACAUUUAUACCCUUUCUGAAGAUGAGAGUAUCCCAAGAAAACACACUUGAUAGCUUUUGCAGAGAGUUUAUCAAGACUUGGAGAAACAGUAUGGACAAAACAUGUACACCCAAAUACACGUGAGGAGACAUGGUAUAAAGUGUUGUUUGGAAAAAUGAUAGAGUGAGGAAUUUUAUUCUAUGGAGAGGAAGAAGGCAUCCUAUUGAUUAAAAAACAGGAAGUGAGGACUGCAUCACCCCAAUGAUGCACAAGACAUGAAUAUUAGUACUCAACAUCAGGGAAUGUAUAGUUUCAAUGAGAUGUCUAUUCUUUCUCUCUGCAAUACCAUUUUGUUGUGGAGUGUGAGGACAUGUUGACUAAUGUACAAUUCCUUGGGAAGAUAAGAAUGAAGAAAACGCGAUAGAAAAAUGUUCCUUAGUAUUAUCACUACGGAGGAUUUUAAUUGUCUUCCCAAAUUGGUUCGUAAUUUCAUUAAAAAAGGACAUAAAUAUGGACCAAAGUUCAAAUCUCUCUUUCAUUAAAUAAACCCAAGUACAUCUAGAGAAUUCAUCAAUGAAGGUUACAAAAUAAUUAAAACCAAAAAAAGUAAAACGGCCUAGUCCCCAAAUAUCAGAGUGAAUAGUUGAGAAAGGAAAAUUACAUUGUGUCUCAGACCUUUUAGGAUAAGAAGAUCUAACAUGUUUUCCUAACUGACAAGACUCAAUCUAAGACUUAAAUGUUCUUGAGACUCGGAACCAUCAUCUUCAACUUGGACAAACUUGGAUGGCCCAAACGAUCAUGCACAAGUUUUGGGGAUGAAAUAUAACAAAGGAAUUAGCAGUAAAGGUUGUAGAACAAAGGAAUUAACAGUAAAGGUUGUAGAACAAUUUAAGGAACGAUUCAAUUGACUCAAGGAGAUUAAAUUGUAAGGACAAUGACGAAUAUAAAAAACGGAAUUUAAAUUUAGUGAAGAAGAUAAGGACACUUUGCCAAUUCUCUGAGAUGCCACUUUGGAUCCAUUGGCAACGGUAAUGAAACGAGAGAUUUUCGGAGAGGACAUGGAAGAAAAUGAAGGAAUGUUACCAUAGAUAUGGUUUGAGGCACCUGAGUCAAGGAUCCAUGGACUGUGACCUUCCACAGAUUGAGAUAUGUAGGUAGUUGACACAUUGGACAUGGAGGAGGAUUGGCCAAGAUAAGAAGAUUUUUCAAACUUGUACCUCAAAAUUUCUUGGUACUCUUCAUUUGAAAUUAUGGAUUCUAGAUCAUUAGAUUUAGAAACAUGAGAAACUUUGUCUCGAUAUCAAUGUAAGGCAUAACAUUUUUCUCAAGUAUGGCCUAUUUUCUUACAAUAUGUACAUUGAGGACACAUACUACGACCACCACGUCCUCCUCGGUUGCUUCUUCCUCCUUUUCUUCCUUGUGGUACUACCAUAGUUGAUGUUUCAAUACCAUCAAUUGAAUUUCAAUACCAUCAGUUGAAUUUUUGUCUUUAACUAAUGAAGGUACAUGAAGAAGUCAAGUAACUAGGCUGUCCAUUGAUGGGAUUUGAUCACCAGCUAACAUUUGAUCACGAAUAUGAUCAAAAUUGGAGUGUAGACUUCUUAGAUCAAGACCAUGUAAAACUUAUUAAGCUUCUUGUUUAUGCCUUCUAAAAUAAUCAGUCAUAAAGAAAUUCUUCAAUUCCUCUACGGCAACACAAGUCUUUCCUAUGUGAGCAACCAUAUCACGAUUUGCUUGUUUGAGAGAAGUCACUCUUUGAGUUGCAUCAAAGAGACGUUGUACGUUAUUAGCAAAGAUAUCAUGUGCUCUUUUUCAAAAGGAGGAGCACGUUUUGUAUGGUCUCAAAAUUUCUAAGACCUCUUAUUCGACAGAUUGCCAUAGUACAAUGCAUAAUUAAAAAUCAAGCUUCUGUCAUUGAGAUUUCUCUUCAUUAGGUACACUAGAAAUAUCUUGUUCAAGAUGAUUAUGGUAUCCUUGACCAAGAAACCAUAAGUCCAUUGAAGAAGACCGAGAUCAAUAGUUUUCCCAACUGAGUUUUGCAUAAGUAAUGGUAGGGGUAGUAGAUAGAGAAGGUGUUCCAAAACCAGAAGCCAUUCUAAUGUCAAACAGAAGAGGUAAAAACUGAUUUAAGUGUAGAAACUCUAGAUCGAAACUACUGUCAACAAAACAGCAAAACAGCGACCAUAACACACUCAGGAGACUGAGGCAAAACGACCGGCAUGGUGAUGUUCCGACUGGGGAAAAGCCACACGUGAAGCCCACACACUCGAGGCUAGCCGGAAAGAAGCGGCAUGGCGCGUUAGGAGGAGAAUAAAGCGACGACCACUAGGGAUGGGUCGUGCUUGUCGAGGUGCGCUUAACCCUUGACUUGGCCAGAGAAAAAGCUGCGAUGGUGGUAGCAGACGGCAGCAGACUGUGGCAAUGACGGAAAGCAGCGGCAGCGGAUAGCGGCAGCGGACAGCGGCAGUGGUACUUGGCUGGCUCUAGAUACCAACUUAAAGAGUUGGGACAGAAACUGAAUUUUUUAUUAUUGCUGUUCUCUUAACCCUAAUACACAUACUACCCUAUUUAAGGGAUAGUAGAUCAACAUAAAAAGGAAAAACAAAAGGCUCCUAAAAAGCCUACUCUAGAAAGCCCACUAGAAAAUACAUUACAUUUCAGACAGUAAUGGCUGAUCAAGAAGGUAAAAAAAAGACAGAGGGGGAUCGACCCCCUCUAAUACCAUCUUAAGAUUAAUACUGAAACAUAUAUUUCUAGAGGGCUUAAUGCUUCUCCGCAGCUCAAGUUACAUUUAUAGAGAAGAAAGGAUGCUAGUUACACUUUCAACCAGCUAAGACUGGUUGGAACACACACACUAACAACUCACACACACUCACACAGCUCAUACACACAAUUCAUAAUUCUAACAGAAGGAUAAUGGAAGAUUUUACACGACACAGAACACUUGGUAAACUAUGCUGAAGGGACAGAUUGCUUGAUGACUCGUUAAGAUUUUUUAGUUAUUACAAACAAUGAUUAAGGUGGUGCUGUAUUACAUUAUAUGGGAUAUUCAUUCAUGAUUCAAGACAAACAUGAGAACUUUCAACAAAUUGUGUAAUAGGAAAGAAUUGCAGAACACAUGCCAAGUGUGCCUUCUUAGAUAUGGAAUAUAUAUAUAUAUAUAUAUAUAUAUAUAUAUAUAUAUAUAUAUUUGCAUAGAAUAUCCAACGAGUAUAAUUUGUUCAUGACCUUUCACUAUAUCUGGUUACUUCAUGAUGGUUUAUCAAAAACUGAUAGUCUAUCUUUCUGUUUUACCUAUUGAACUCUUAUUUGCACUUUUGUUGCCUAAAUUCUGUUCGUCUGCAGCCUUUUUAAAGUUUGUAUCCUGAUAUUUAUUGUUUUAAAUAGGUAUUCAAAUCAUUUACAAAAGCAGGCAUUGAGGCAGGAAUGUACCAUGGCCAAAUGAAUGGAAAAGCUCGAGAGGAGUCUCAUAGGUGAAUGUUCUUUCUUAUUUUAGAACAUGAAAUAAAAUUUCAUCUCUGGUCACUGUGAAGGUGGAGCAUACUCCUUACCUCCCUCCCUCCUGUUCACUAAUUUUUGAAGAUGCUUCAAUGUUUUCAACCUAACUAAACUGUGUUCUAAUUUAUUCACAGAUUGUUUGUUAGAGAUGAACUGCAAGUCAUGGUGGCCACCAUUGCCUUUGGCAUGGGUAUAAAUAAACCUAACAUUAGACAAGUGAUUCACUAUGGUUGCCCUAAAAGUCUAGAAUCCUACUACCAGGAAAGUGGACGAUGUGGUAGAGAUGGUAUAGCUUCUGUUUGUUGGCUUUACUACACAAGAAGUGACUUUGCAAAGGGCAACUUUUACUGUAGAGAUGU